GCCCCCGUGAGAAUGCCCUACAGUUCCUCUCCCAGGAACAAGGAGCUGGCAUCAGGCACACCCUUUUAGCCCAUGACGCCUUGCUUAGCCACACCCCCAAGGGUCCUCAGCAGUGAUAGAUAUUAAGCAAUAAGUGAAAACUUGACUUAGUUACAGCCAAUUAGGGCCGGUAAAUCUCGUGCCAGCCACCGCGGUUAAACGGGGGGCCCAAGUUGACAAACCCUCGGCGUAAAGCGUGGUUAGAAUCUUUUUACUACUAAAGCCGAAAGCCCUCCCUGCUGUCAUAAGCCCUCGAGGGUAAGAAGCCCAAUUACGAAAGUAGCUUUACUUACUCGACUCCACGAAAGCUGUGGCACAAACUGGGAUUAGAUACCCCACUAUGCACAGCCAUAAACUUUGGCACUCUUUUACACAAGUGUCCGCCCGGGUACUACGAGCAGCAGCUUAAAACCCAAAGGACUUGGCGGUGCUUCAGAUCCACCUAGAGGAGCCUGUUCUAGAACCGAUGAUCCCCGUUAAACCUCACCCUCUCUUGCAUCUAUCCCGUCUGUAUACCUCCGUCGCCAGCUUACCCUGUGAAGGGUCAAUAGUAAGUUCAACUAGCCCACCCUCAAAACGUCAGGUCGAGGUGCAGCUUAUGAGAGGGGAAGAAAUGGGCUACAUUCCCUAGCCUUAGGGAAUACGGAUAAUUAACUGAAAUGUUGAUUAGAAGGAGGAUUUAGCAGUAAGGGGAAAAUAGAGUGUUCCCCUGAAGCCGGCCCUAAAGUGCGUACACACCGCCCGUCACUCUCCCCGAAACAACUAACCUUAUACAUUAAUACACCAAACAAAAAUAAAGGGGAGGUAAGUCGUAACAUGGUAAGUGUACCGGAAGGUGCACUUGGGUAAU
rnacentral:ncRNA from 1 species